rnacentral:rRNA from 1 species
UACAGAGGUCUCAAGCGUUGUUCGGAUUCAUUGGGCGUAAAGGGUGCGUAGGCGGCGCGGUAAGUCGGGGUGUGAAAUCUCGGGGCUUAACUCCGAAACUGCAUUCGAUACUGCCGUGCUUGAGGACUGGAGAGGAGACUGGAAUUUACGGUGUAGCGGUGAAAUGCGUAGAUAUCGUAAGGAAGACCAGUGGCGAAGGCGGGUCUCGUGGACAGUUCCUGACGCUGAGGCACGAAGGCCAGGGGAGCAAACGGG